GUCCUUGUAGUAUAAAAAUUACCCUGGUCUUGUAAACCAGAAAUGAAGCUCAACCCUUCCUAGGACA
rnacentral:tRNA from 1 species